UCUUUGUUAGAGAAACAGCUCAUAAUUUCAAGUAUACAAAUGUCAGUUGUUUCUCAUUUCUUUUUCUUCCAAGCCAAAUGAGCUGUUGAUGCUCAAUUUGGCAAGAAUCUAACUGAGGCUGACUAUCAGCCAGCCACAGGAACCCAGCCCUGAAAGUUUGAGAAAUUUUUACAAGAAUAAGAAGCUUUUUCCUAAUGGCUCCCUAAACCAUAGAAAGUUUCCUUAGAGCCUCAGCCAGUUCUCUCCCACUCAAUAUCCCAAAGUAUAACCGCUAACAUUGUUUGGAUACUAAUGGAUUAAGUUAGGGUGUGAAAUGGGAAUAUUAAGUCCUCCCAUACUUUGGCCAAAUACUCUUUAGAAACCCUCUUAACAGAGAAGAGCCCGAGGGUGUAGAGAUUUUAUUUGUGAUAGCAACCUGAGCUAUGAGCCCUAACAUCUCUCCUUUUAUUUCAUCUUUUAUGACUGUCCCACAGCUUAAAAUGAUGAAGUAACAUUUGGACCAAUUUCCAAUUGAAGAUUAAGCCUUUAGAUCAAUUAUAUAUCUGCUUCCACAAUUAAGGUAUUAAACCCAAUUAUCACUGUUAUCUCUGCAGCCUGAAUAGAGGAAGGAAAAGCAUGUGGAAGCUGGAUAGAGUGAAAGAACUUGUGCUUUGGGGCGAGAGAGUCUGUGUCCCAUCCUGGAUCAUUCCCUGACCACAUGGCCUUAGGUGUCCAUGUGUUUGGGGCAAAAAUGAGCCACUGCUAACAAUUGUAAAGAAAGAGAGAACAGCUGUUUGCAUCUGGAUAUGGGGUAAGAAAGAACAGCUGCUGGCAGCGGUGGCAGACAAGAAAGUGAGCAAAUGAGCAGCUGUUGGUAAUUCAGAAUCUCAUCAGCCACACAGAAUAAUUGAAAUCCAGAACCAUGCAGGGCUCGACUUAACAGCUUUAUUGCAUCCUGCUGUUCAUUAGAUCCUGCCUGUCCUCCAUUAGAGAUUCCUGUGAUAGCUACAUGAGGACUCUCAACAGGAAUAUCCACCCCGACAUCCCCAUCCACAACCCUUUGAAGAAGCAACCCAAGAGAGGUAAAAAGGCACAGACUUUUCUUCCAGUAAGUCCAUACCUAUUUUUACACAAAGGAAGACAAGGGAAGGGAUAUUAACACACAUGGGAAUGAUCACAAGAUUGGCCAAAAAUAAUUAUUUCUGUAUUAUAAGAAAUUAUAGCCAUUUUAAUGAUGAACUCACAUUUCAGAAUUCCAGCAAGCCAGCAUAAAUAUGUGAUAAGUAUAACUUAAACUUGAAAAAAUAUAUUUUGAAAUACUGUCAGUGGUUUCAAUGUCUCUUUUCAUGUAUAUGUAAUCCUAUGACUAUAUAUAUAUAUAUAUACACACAUACAUCCCUCUUUUUUUUUACUUUUAAUAAAAAGAAGAGAAAAACAUGUUUGCAUCACGCAUUACAAAAUGUGUUUGGUUUCCUUUUGGGCUUCAUACUAGUUCUUCUAGCCAACUGGAAUUCUAGGAUAAAUCUAGAAUAGAUUGGAUAGGAUAAAUUUGAGUGACCCCAAAAUAUCAGUCCAUCUCUCACCUUGCUUAAUACAGAAGAAAAACAUCUCAUUACUCUCAUAUAUAGAAUUCCAAUUCUUUAGUCACUGAAAGAAACAGUAGAAGAGAAGAAAAAAGAAACCAACCCCAAUGUUAUUUAUUGCUGAACUAUAUACAACUAAAUGUCCCCAAAUAAAAGCAUAUUUAAUUAUAUGGCAAGUUAUCUGUAUUUAUAAAGGUGAUCGUUUUGAAGAUGUUAAUAGGGGAAAUACUUGUGACACAACACUUAUGGAGAAGAGUCUGCAAAGAUCAUUUAGACAGGAAAAGUUGAAUGCAAAAUGUGCACCAUAAUUAACAUUAUGGUUUAAAGGUAGGCAUAAGACAAUUACAUGAAAGAAAUAUUUUUAAAUGGAGGAAGUCAAAAUAAGAGAGCAGAAG
rnacentral:lncRNA from 1 species